UCCCUUUUAAGGAUAUUAAGGUUACCACUUCCUCAGGCAAAGUUGACCUUAGGUUGAUUUGGCUAUUCCUUUUAAGGAUACUAAGGUUACCACUUCCUCAGACAAAGUUGACUUUAGGUUGAUUUGGCUAUUCCUUUUAAGGAUAUUAAGGUUACCACUUCCUCAGACAAAGUUGACCUUAGGUUGAUUUGGCUAUUCCUUUUAAGGAUACUAAGGUUACCACUUCCUCAGACAAAGUUGACUUUAGGUUGAUUUGGCUAUUCCUUUUAAUGAUAUUAAGGUUACCACUUCCUCUGGCAAAGUUGACCUUAGGUUGAUUUGGCUAUUCCUUUUAAGGAAACUAAGGUUACCACUUCCUCAGACAAAGUUGACCUUAGGUUGAUUUGGCUAUUCCUUUUAGGGUUACUAGGGUUACCACUUCCUCAGACAAAGUUGACCUUAGGUUGAUUUGGCUAUUCCUUUUAAGGAUACUAAGGUUACCACUUCCUCAGACAAAGUUGACCCUAGGUUGAUUUGGCUAUUCCUUUUAGGGAUACUAAGGUUAUCACUUCU